ACUUUUGGCAGCCAAGCGUUCAUAGCAACAUCACUUUUUGACCCUUCAAUGUUGGCUCUUCCUAUCAUUGUGAAGCAGAAUUCAUCAAACGUUGGAUUGUUCACCCGCUGACAGAAUGUGAGCUGGGCUUAGACCAUCAUGAGACAGGUU
rnacentral:ncRNA from 1 species